rnacentral:rRNA from 1 species
ACGAUUGACGGAGCGGAGCGACGUGAAAGCGUUUUACAACGUUGAGUUGGCUUAGGGAUACGUUCGUUGGGUAGGGGAGCGUUCUGUAAGCCUGCGAAGGUGUGCUGUGAGGCAUGCUGGAGGUAUCAGAAGUGCGAAUGCUGACAUAAGUAACGAUAAAGCGGGUGAAAAGCCCGCUCGCCGGAAGACCAAGGGUUCCUGUCCAACGUUAAUCGGGGCAGGGUGAGUCGACCCCUAAGGCGAGGCCGAAAGGCGUAGUCGAUGGGAAACGGGUUAAUAUUCCCGUACUUGGUGUUACUGCGAAGGGGGGACGGAGAAGGCUAUGUUGGCCGGGCGACGGUUGUCCCGGUUUAAGCGUGUAGGUGUGUGUUCCAGGUAAAUCCGGUUCACUUUAACACUGAGGCGUGAUGACGAGGCACUACGGUGCUGAAGCAACAAAUGCCCUGCUUCCAGGAAAAGCCUCUAAGCAUCAGGUAACACGAAAUCGUACCC